UUCUUGUGAUAAUUACACUUUUGUGCCUCCUGUUCAUGCCACUGAUGCUCUGUCAUGAUUGAGGACAAUUCAGAA
ensembl:snoRNA